ensembl:rRNA 5S_rRNA 5S ribosomal RNA
GUCUGUUUCUCACUCUCUGUGUUUCUGUUCUAUGAAAGAUAUAAAUAAAUAAAUAAAAUCUCGGAAGGUAAGCAGGGUUGGGCCUGGUUAGUACUUGGAUGGGAGACCACCUGGGAAUACCAGGUGCUGUAGGCU